AGUGUGUGACAGGUUAGUACAGUGGUGAACCUAUAGGUCUUCAGUGUGUGACAGGUUAGUACAGUGGUGAACCUAUAGGCCUUCAGUGUGUGACAGGUUAGUACAGUGGUGAACCUAUAGGCCUUCAGUGUGUGACAGGUUAGUACAGUGGUGAACCUAUAGGCCUUCAGUGUGUGACAGGUUAGUACAGUGGUGAACCUAUAGGCCUUCAGUGUGUGACAGGUUAGUACAGUGGUGAACCUAUAGGCCUUCAGUGUGUGACAGGUUAGUACAGUGGUGAACCUAUAGGCCUUCAGUGUGUGACAGGUUAGUACAGUGGUGAACCUAUAGGCCUUCAGUGUGUGACAGGUUAGUACAGUGGUGAACCUA